CAACAGCAAAUGUCUUGUUUUUCUAUGUGUUACAGUUUGAUUCACUACUCGUAGGGCCUUCAUUAAAUCAACGUAAAAAUUUGAUGCAUGUGUUCAAAACAAGAUGAAGAUCUAAAGUUAACGAAAUUGCAACUUUUCAUAAUACUGUGUGACCGUGGUGUGGCUUCCAGUUUGAGGUAUGAAAACAUCUAUAUCUGGCAGAUGUGCUGCAAUAUUUAGUCACUAGAUGGCAGUGUCAGACCAUGCUUUGUGUUAUCUAUGCAUUAACAGACUGUGUUUACAGGGUGGCCAACUUUAGAGGAGAAUUAAACCUUUUACAGCAUUGCUCAAACUUUGGUUUUAGUCUCAAUCGCUAAGUUCUUCCUUCAUGACAACUCUGAGGGGGGUAAAUUUGUUUUUAACUUCCUUGUUUAAGCGAUAUAGAUGUUUGAAAUUCACGUGACGCCACAGUGUAAGCUGUGCUGUGUGUUGUGAGUUCGGCUUUAACCAGGUACAAGUGAACGCCUCAUGAAAUGGCUUACACCCACAUACCCAGUAAAUUACACACUUUGAUGUUCUGCUCCUUCUCCUGACGGUCACGGUAACGAUGUCUGCGCCUCCGUUUCUGUGGAUGUCCAGCGUAAGACACAACUUGAAUCCAACCAGACUGAACACUGACUCCAGGGACGGACGAGCCUGAAGGACACAGCUGUGAUGACCAUGUUCUGUCUCUUAUGACAAAGCAGAAAUAUAAAACACUGGGUUCUUAUCUAAAGUGUAUCAAAUCAGAUCUCCACCAUGUUGCUGCUGAGGACAUCAGGUGCUGCAGUUCUUCAUCUAUGAAGAUGAAAAAACUCACUGUUAAAGAAUGUUUUGUGUUGUGUAUGAAGCACAACAGAUUUCAGAUAGAACCGUUGUACUGUGGUCUGGGUUUGUAUCCUAAUGGUUAAAUGCACAUAUUUUAAGUCGCUUUUGAUAAAAGUACUGAAAGAAAUACAACAUUGUAAAAAUAGAUAAAAUGUCUUUCUACCUCAUCUGUAAUAUUCAAGGUGAUAAUCUCCCACAGAGCUAUUGAUAACAGUCCACAUCAAGUCUCUCCACUUCCCUCGGUGUGAAAACAUAAUUAUAUAAUUAAUUUGAGAACUGUUUACAACACUUAUGUGUGGAGAUUAUACUCAUAUCUAAACUGUCAUAUUCACUGUAAAACUCCAUGACAGGCUAAAUAAACGCGGUGGGAAUAGUAAUGGUGGAUAUAAUAUAUUGUAACUUUACUAGAACAGACAGUGUUCAUAGAGAAUUUGAAAAUGAUGUACACUACCUAUUUCCUAAGAUGAAAUGAUUAUGAUCUGAUUAUUUUUAUGUUUCCUCUCAUUUUAUUAGGGACGGACGAGCCUGAAGGACACAGCUGUGAUGACCAAUUGACCAUGUUUUGUCUCUUAUGGCAAAGCAGAAAUAUUAAACACUGGGUUCUUAUCUAAAGUGUAUCAAAUCAGAAAGCAAAAGAUACACAUUGUUGUAAUAAGUUUCUAUUAUUUUAACCAACAAUAAUAAAGAUAGAAAUGAAUUGUUAUCCAUGACAAUGAGCAAUGACUGUUACCACUAAACAGUUGCAGGCCAUCUUUAUUUAAGGGAGGAAUUUAGAAGUGUUGUGUAGCUUCUGAUGAUGAUGCAGUCGUCCACGUGUUGACCACCAUGUUGCUGCUGACGACGUCAGGUGCUGCAGUUCCUCAUCUAUAAAGAGAAGAAACGCACUGUUAAAGAAUGUUUUGAGUUGUGUAUGAAGCACAACAGAUUUCAGAUAGAACCGUUGUACUGUGGUCUGGGUUUGUAUCCUAAUGGUUAAAUGCACAUAUUUUAAGUCGCUUUUGAUAAAAGUACUGAAAGAAAUACAACAUUGUAAAAAUAGAUAAAAUGUCUUUCUACCUCAUCUGUAAUAUUCAAGGUGAUAAUCUCCCACAGAGCUAUUGAUAACAGUCCACAUCAAGUCUCUCCACUUCCCUCGGUUUGAAAACAUAAUUAUAUAAUUAAUUUGAGAACUGUUUACAACACUGAUGUGUGGAGAUUAUAAUCAUAUCUAAACUGUCAUAUUCACUUUAAAACUCCAUGACAGGCUAAAUAAACGCGGUGGGAAUAGUAAUGGUGGAUAUACCAGCCUUCAACAGAAUA